rnacentral:rRNA from 1 species
AUUGAACGCUGGCGGCAGGCCUAACACAUGAAAGUCGAGCGGAUGAGAGGAGCUUGCUCCUCGAUUAAGCGGCGGACGGGUGAGUAAUGCCUAGGAACCUGCCUAGUAGAUGGGGACAACGUUACGCAAGGAACGCUAUUACCGCAUACGUCCUACGGGAGAAAGUGGGGGAUCUUCGGACCUUCCGCUAUAAGACUAGCCCAGGUCGGAUUACCUAGUUGGUAGGGUAACGGCCUACCAAGGCGACGAUCCGUAACUGGUCUGAGAGGAUGAUCAGUCACACUGGAACUGAGACACGGUCCAGACUCCUACGGGAGGCAGCAGUGGGGAAUAUUGGACAAUGGGCGAAAGCCUGAUCCAGCCAUGCCGCGUGUGUGAAGAAGGCCCUCGGGUCGUAAAGCACUUUAAGUUGGGAGGAAGGGCUUACAGCGAAUACCUGUGAGUUUUGACGUUACCGACAGAAUAAGCACCGGCUAACUUCGUGCCAGCCGCCGCCGUAA